UGCCGAACCUCUCUGGCGGCCGGGCCUCCGCAACAUUCCCAAGUUCUGCCGAUGGAUAAACCCGCACCAACGUCGAUCAGAUUCUUUGCGACGAAUGGACUCCACCCAAGUUUUCACGGUGAUCGACCACCUUCAGGACUUCAUCCGGACUCCUACGGGAGCCGAACUUCGUCCCCGACUUCAACCGCAAGAAGACUUCGUCCGAACUCCUACGGGAGCCGGACUCCGUCCACGACUUCACUUGCAGGUAGAUUUCGUCCGGACUCCUACGGGAGCCGGACUCCGUCCCCGACUUCAACCGCAAAAAGACUUCGUCUGGAC
rnacentral:lncRNA from 1 species